rnacentral:rRNA from 1 species
UUCGGCCUGGUGGCGAGUGCGACCGGGUGAGUAAUACAUCGGAACGUACCCAGAAGUGGGGCAUAACGUAGCGAAAGUUACGCUUAAUCCGCAUACGUUCUACGGAAGAAAGUGGGGGAUCGCAAGACCUCAUGCUUUUGGAACGGCCGAUGUCUGAUUAGCUAGUUGGUGAGGUAAAGGCUCACCAAGGCGACGAUCAGUAGCUGGUCUGAGAGGCGUCCGCCGCCUGGAACUAAGACUCGGUCCAGACUCCUACGGGAGGCAGCAGUGGGGAAUUUUGGACAAUGGGCGCAAGCCUGAUCCAGCAAUGCCGCGUGAGUGAAGAAGGCCUUCGGGUUGUAAAGCUCUUUUGUCUAGGGAAGAAACGGCGUUGGCUAAUAUCCUUUGCUAAUGGCGGU